CCAGCAAAAUCCCUCAUCCAGGCCCCAGGCAGUUUGGAUCUGCUGGGUUCUCAAACAAAUGGGACUUGCCUUCAAGCAUCCCACAGUUUUUCUUGCUUGCUUGCUUUCUUUCUUUCCCCACCCCGCAGGGAGAGUUCUCGAACCUGGAAGAAGUGGGUCAGGAGAGUGAAACGCGUGAGCAGGGAGCUGCUGGUGCAGGAGGCGACCUCCGUGUUAAAGACUGCAGAGAGGGCCCGCCAGGGAGCCCAGGAGAGGCAGCGGCAGCAGGGUGUCGUCCCCUCCCAGGUGACAUUCUUCCAUUCCCUGGAGCUGCUGGACGCUACGAUGGAGGAUUAUGUGG